rnacentral:rRNA from 1 species
GAUGAACGCUGGCGGCGUGCUUAACACAUGCAAGUCGAACGAAGCAUUUAGGACAGAUUACUUCGGUUUGAAGUUCUUUAUGACUGAGUGGCGGACGGGUGAGUAACGCGUGGGUAACCUGCCUUGUACUGGGGGAUAGCAGCUGGAAACGGCUGGUAAUACCGCAUAAGCGCACAAUGUUGCAUGACAUGGUGUGAAAAACUCCGGUGGUAUAAGAUGGACCCGCGUCUGAUUAGCUAGUUGGUGAGAUAACAGCCCACCAAGGCGACGAUCAGUAGCCGAGCUGAGAGGGUGACCGGCCACAUUGGGACUGAGACACGGCCCAGACUCCUACGGGAGGCAGCAGUGGGGAAUAUUGCACAAUGGAGGAAACUCUGAUGCAGCGACGCCGCGUGAGUGAAGAAGUAAUUCGUUAUGUAAAGCUCUAUAAGCAGGGAAGAUAGUGACGGUACCUGACAAAGAAGCUCCGGCUAAAUACGUG